GCAGCACUUUCACCCAAAGGACGAGUCAGAGGAAAAGGCGGAUGCGUUCCGGGCAGGGCGCCCGAGUCAGUGUGACCAAAACCCGGCAAGAAACCCUAAGAGUCUGGAAGGAACUGGAGCUCGGAUGCUGCUCACGACCUUCCCCAAACCAAGGCUUUCCCUGGCGGAAGCGCACAGAGGAGAGCAGACAACAGAUAACGCGACGGAGGGCGUGCGGGCUGCUCCCCUCUGGGCGUCACACCGCCUUUCAGAAGGGCAUGAGGGCACGUGACUAGUUUCUCUCAGGCCAACUGGGACGGCUUCCUCCCCGACUCCACAAAAACUGAAACAGCAGCCGACACGCCGUUUUGGUGCCUGCAGUUCCAUGUCCCGUCUGGUGAUCUUCUCUGCCCUACUUCGAGUGGACUGCCUUUUCCCUAAACUCUUCUUAAAAACGCUGUGGACUUAUGUACCCCAAACUCCUCCAGAAACAAUGCUUCUAAGAAGAUGAAAUGCAUAAUCUUUGCUGAGGGUUCACGUUAAAGUUAUGUGUUCGGAGAUUCCAACACCUGGCUGAAUAUUAACUUGCUUUUCCACACUCAGUCCCGAAAUGAGGGAAAAUUGACCAUUUCCCACAUCACUUUGCCUUUUGUUCUGCAUUCAUCGUUUUUCCUCUUGAACAACCUCUAAGCAAAGGUCCCAAGAGGAUGCGUUUUAGCAAAAAUAGUCUUUAGAACUGGAUUGUUUGAGACUUGCGUGCAGUGUAAGGGAACAGCUUGCCUUAGAGGGCGCACUCUGUUCACCCUGGAAGUCUCCCUGCCGAAUUAAGAACAAACAAUAAUGAGCAAAUUGUAGCUGGAGCUUAUUAUGCACAUAUUUCUUUCUUAAUUAGAAGGUGCACAACUGGGACAAAUCAUGUGACUAUCCACAGAAUAGACUUUUUUGCACCAGUAAUUUUACUUUAAAUCAUCCUUCAAAGCUGUUAUUCCAGUCAGUGUGACAAAACAGUAUGAAAACCCCAGGGGCACAGACGGCUUGUCCGCCUGUUUCCCUGAUGGGAAGGAUGCUGUCUGGUAGCUCUGCACAUCAGGAAAAUGCACUUCCUGCAGAAGUUCAAAACUCUAGUCUGAGUACUGGCCGUUGUAAUCUGACAAAAGGCUACAAAACCAGAUAUUGAGGCUGCCCAGAAUGGUUCUCACUGGUGUCUGGCUUUUAAUCCUGUCUCCAUGGGUUCUAUUCUGUGGUUGCCCAGGGCACCCAGUAUUACUGACAACUGAUGUAACAGAGCUAAAAGCUUGAAAUUAAAAGCCUGAAAUCCAAUUCUAUUAACAUGCUAUGUAAUCUUAAGCAAGUCCUCAAUCUCUCAGAACCUCAUCAAAAAGGAUAAUUGUAGUUAAUUUUUAGAACUGUUAGGAUUGUUAGAAACACUAAAAGAGGUAUAAUUAUACUUAGGGCAGUGUUGGAUACUUAAUAGAAAUAUAGUUAAUGCUUCAUAAUGAAAUUGACUUCAUUACAUCAUUCAAUAAAUGUUUAUUAUGGGUCUAGCUGGGGCCAGGGGCUUACCUAGUUAUUUGGGAUGUCGGUAAAUACAACAGCGAAGUCUUGUUCUGUUGAGGUUUGUGUCUGUGUGAACGUGUGUACGUGUGAGUGUGCAUGUUGUUCCCCUGCAUAAUUAGCCAGUAAACAAAUAAGGUAUCAGGUAGUGGUUUGUACUAUUUUGGGAAAAAAAACUCAAAGGAUCUACGUGGAGUAGAGAGUGACAAAAACAGGGUA